UUGUGAGUGUGGUUCUUGAUCACCGAGCAUGUAUAGCAUUUGUAUAUCAUUGCUUUUCAUAUGUUUACUAACCAAAAGUACAAAAAUAUCGUCAUCUAACCAUGUUGCUUGCAGCUGAAGCAAUCAUCAGUCAAACAGUCAAAUCAGGCCUUGAGCAUUGGAUGGUGACCAUUCUUGAAGAAUUUGGGCACCAUGAUCAUUCAUAAAGAGUUCUUAUAACUUGUGGUAUCAUUUGGAAUCAAGAUCUCAUCUGAAAGAGGCUUGAAAUUCAUCAGAACAUGGCCCAGUCAACCAAAAGUCAACAAAAGUCAACUGUGGUCAACUGUGCAUUUAAUCAGUGAUUUGAUGAUUGGAAAUGGUUGGAAAGGUCUCAUUCAUGUAUAUAUAAGCUUCAUUUGGCAUUUCAAAGGUCAAGGUUGAAGGAAUUGAAGUCAGACAGACAGUUUCCCAAAAUGGCAAGCGGACCUGUAAUUUCAGCUGCCCAAAAUGGAAAGUUUUUGACCUCAAAAACAGAAGUCCAAGGAAGCUUCAAAUGAAAAAUUGUUCAACAUGACAGAUGUAGAUCUUGUUCUCACCUUUCCAAAAAGUCCAAGAACUUGAAAAUCCAAUGUACGGUUUGCAAGAUAUGGCUCAGUGAAUUUCAGAAAAGACCCGUAAUCAGGAGGCCAUAACUACCACAUGGUUUAUCCAAAUUGCAAGUUCUUUAUAUGCACAAACUCCAUUUGAUAUGUACUUUCAUGGUGCAUAAUUGGAUUUUUCCAGAAUUGCUCAAUGCAAAAGGUCAAAUUUCAACUGGACUGUUAAAUGAACCAGGGGCAAAAUCGUCCAACUUGUGAAAUAAUUGGAAUUUUUGAGUGGGGAUUUUUGCAACACCUCACAAAUGGCAUUUGAAAUUUGUUGGAAUAUUCACAACAUGCCUAAGCCUUGUGGUUUGAGAAUUGGGUUUGAAAAUGAAUUGGAAAAAUGGACACAUAAGCCAUCACAUGGUGAAAUUGGAAAAUAUUGGGAAUUUGAGAACAAGGCCAAUGCAACCAGCUCCAAAAGGGUAUUUUUGACUUGUUUCAAGUGAUAAAAUUCUGCAGGAAAUUGCUUCUGAGCAUCAAAGGUUAAAAAGUUCAAAAUGCAUCAUAAGCUAUUUUUACACUAAUCCAUCUUUUAGCUUAAUUGUAAUUAAAGUAAGGUUAGGAACUGCAUAUAUAAUGUUAAUUACUAACAGAAAGAAAGGAGAGCUAACAACAACUAAUCACACUUUCUGCAAUUUUUUUCACAAUUCUCACAAUUACUCUCUCAUAAUCACUCUCACAACUCUCUAAUCACAAUUUCACAACCAUAAUUCACAGAAUCAAAAACUAUCACCAUAACAGAAAAAUCAAAAAGAGAGAAUUCUCUCAUUCUUCCAAAACUUUUCAUCAAGAAUUUCGCCUUUUCUUCUUCAAUUCUUCAAUUCUUUACUGAUCAUAGUGCUUAGCUAUCUGCAGUUGGAUCAUUGGUAUGGUUGAGGAUUGUUUUUUGCAGGAAUCCAUUGGAAAAGCAAGAAGAAUCGCAGCUGUUGCAAGAUCCUGAACAUCCAUAUCAGUCGCCGAUUCUUGAGCGUUUGUGCAUCGUUGAGCUGAAGUCGCGUCAUCAUUCAUCUGCUACAACCAAUUGCUGCAUCUGUUUUGAUAUCUUGAAGCUCAUCCGCGCGAUUCCGAUACUGCUAGCUUCGGAAGGUUGGAAAUCAAAACUCGUAGAUGCUUCGAUUUUGUUAGGAGUUCUGUAGUAUGUUCAUCAUAGAUUACAUAGCAGCUUGUAGAAUUGAAUAUUGUUACGAAUUGGUUGAGAAAUUCACGAUCUAGGUUUCGAAGCACUUAUUCUUUUCCUUCGAUUCUUGCUAUAUAUUGAUUGAUAGAUGAAAUUGAGACCGUAUUCUUGUUCCUGAUGCGAAACCGGUUCGACCGGUAUAUAGUUUGUUGAUUUCCAUCGCCAUUGUGUGAGUUCUUGCGAAUUCGAGCUUCGACGCCGUCCGUUUCUUUCCUUCGAUUCGCAUUAGGUAGUAAUCUAUUGUUGAAAUCGAGUAUGGAUUCACGCUCCUGAGACGAAACCGCUCCGAUCGGUGUGUCGUCCAUGCAUUUCCGUCGAGAAUCGCUCGAAACCGUCCUUGCCGUUGAAGAACACGCCGGCAUGCGAAGAAGAUGACCAAAAUCUGGAAAUUUCUAUGCUUCUGAUCUUCCUGGGCGCGUUUCAACCUUGGAUCCGUGUUUUCCCUGGCCAGAAUUAAAUCUCAGCCGUCCAUAUCUUCUAAUUGAAACGGCAGUGUUUAAGGCGCAGCAUUUAUAUUUACCAUCGCUGCCACUAUCAUUCAUUUAAUUAAAUAAUCCUAAUAUAAUCCUAAAUAAAUAUUAAAUAAUCAUUUUAAGACUUAAAAAAUUCAUAUAAUACUCAAAAAUAAUCCAAAAAAAUACCAUUCUUUUUCUGUUAAUCAUUUUUUUCCUCUAUUAUUUUAUAAAAAUGAAAAACAAAAUAGUGCUUGGAAAAAAUAUUAAUUGACCUAGAGAUAUUCUAAGGUGUGCAUAUUUUCAUACACUUUGCCAUUUUAAUUCUAUAAUCCACAUGCUAUAUCCAAAUUAAAUGAAAAUUGAGCCAUGAAUUCUUGACAUCCUUCUGGAUUUUUUGACAUAGGUUUGGGAAUUUUUUAGCCUAUGGUUUACUAUAUGUGAAUUAUGGAAAUUGGAUAUGUAUAUAUGCGACAUAGUUUGGUAUGCUGAAUUCCCCAAAUAUUUUCCUAUGCUUCCCAUUGGCCAAUGGCCCUAAUUUUUUGCAGGAAGUUUAUUUGACAUGUUAGCUAUCAUUGAUAAUUUUUGUGGAUUUUUUACAAUCAAUUUUCAAAUUGAUUCGUAUUUUUUCUUGCUGCCUAGCAUGUUAGAAUUCCAUUGGUGUAACCUUUAGCAUUUAUAUUGCCAUAUCCUCAUAAUUAAUCCAAUGGACAUGAAACUUUGUAGGAUAGUUCUUAACAUGUUAAGGUAGCUUUUGGCUUUGGUCCCAUGAAUUUUGAAGAUAACUAUUGCUGUUUGCCAUUAGAUUGAAGUUGAUGCAUAAAUUUAGGCUUCAUUUGAUGUUGUUUUUGCAUGCUUGGUCAUGUUUAAUUAAUUCCUAUUGAUCUACUAGUCCAAAUGACUUGAAAAUUAACAUGUGGCUUGCUGAAUGCCUUCUGGUUAGAACAUAAUUUUUGUGGAUUUUUUGGUGCCAUUUUGGCAUUUAUUUGAAUGUGAUCUUGCUGGUUGUUUGUAUGAGACUCCACAUUGCACCUUUUGCCUUCCAUGUUGCAUAAAUUAAAAUAGGUGUAUAGUUUGAAUAUGGGACCAAUUGGAAUCCCUUUGUUAUUGAUAUUACUUGAAUUUGAUCAUGAAUAGGUUGCUGUUUUAAGAUUUUUCCAUCUUUUUGACCUUAGGCUAGUCCUAGUGGUCAUGUUACUUACAUUUGAAGUUAAUUGUGCCUUUUCAGGUUAAGGAGUUAGUGAUUAAGGAAUUUGCUCCACAUUAUGGAUUGUGUUACUUGACACAUAUGACUAAUGUAUUUGUUUUGUAGGAUGUUUGGUUCAUGUACCCUUUAGUCGCUCAGUUCUCUUAAGAACUUGCUUUGCUUUGCUUAAAUAGCAACUUGCAUUGAGACGCACCUUCCCGGUACUACACCAGAGCCAACUCUGCAAGGUUUAUGGACCGUUUUGAGCAAGAGAAUUGUGAACUCAAGGAGGAAUUUUCCGGACAGAGUGCUUUUGAUGGACAAAUCCCGGGUUGGCAUUGGCUACUGUUCUGGGGCAUAUAAAGAACACGGUCUGUUCACGAGUGGAGGAUUUAUCCAUGAUGAUCAGCCUGUUGAAGAGGAAGCUGCUGCUAUCAUUGAAGAAGAUGCAGAGGACAUGAACAACUUUGUUAUUCCUGGUGGUGUCUGCCGCAAUUGGGUCGCUGUGGAUGUUCCUACAGUUAUCCAUAGAUCAGAGUAAUAAUGCUCAUUUUGUUUAAAACCCUUCUCCCAUGCCAAAAGGAGAAGUGAUGACAUUGUUGGCAGCAUUUAAUACAAUGAUGUUUUCAUUCAAUUAUUGCAUUGUAAAACAUUUGUUUUUCCAUUUGUUUUCACUUUUCGCUUUUUGCAUGAAAUCAGUGAUCACAAAAAACCAUGAAAAACAAGAAAACAGCUU